rnacentral:rRNA from 1 species
CCUACGGGCGGCUGCAGUGGGGAAUAUUGGACAAUGGGGGCAACCCUGAUCCAGCCAUGCCGCGUGUGUGAAGAAGGCCCUCGGGUUGUAAAGCACUUUCAGGGAGGAAGAACGCCUGGUGGUUAAUACCCAUCAGGAAGGACAUCACUCACAGAAGAAGCACCGGCUAACUCCGUGCCAGCAGCCGCGGUAAUACGGAGGGUGCGAGCGUUAAUCGGAAUUACUGGGCGUAAAGCGCGCGUAGGUGGCUUGAUAAGCCGGUUGUGAAAGCCCCGGGCUCAACCUGGGAACGGCAUCCGGAACUGUCGAGCUGUAGUGCAGGAGAGGAAGGUAGAAUUCCCGGUGUAGCGGUGAAAUGCGUAGAGAUCGGGAGGAAUACCAGUGGCGAAGGCGGCCUUCUGGACUGACCCUGACACUGAGGUGCGAAAGCGUGGGUAGCAAACAGGAUUAGAUACCCCUGUAGUC